rnacentral:rRNA from 1 species
ACGGGUGAGUAAUGUCUGGGGAUCUGCCCGAUAGAGGGGGAUAACCACUGGAAACGGUGGCUAAUACCGCAUAACGUCGCAAGACCAAAGAGGGGGACCUUCGGGCCUCUCACUAUCGGAUGAGCCCAGAUGGGAUUAGCUAGUAGGCGGGGUAACGGCCCACCUAGGCGACGAUCCCUAGCUGGUCUGAGAGGAUGACCAGCCACACUGGAACUGAGACACGGUCCAGAUCUCUACGGGAGGCAGCAGUGGGGAAUAUUGCACAAUGGGCGCAAGCCUGAUGCAGCCAUGCCGCGUGUAUGAAGAAGGCCUUCGGGUUGUAAAGUACUUUCAGCGGGGAGGAAGGCGAUAAGGUUAAUAACCUUGUCGAUUGACGUUACCCGCAGAAGAAGCACCGGCUAACUCCGUGCCAGCAGCCGCGGUAAUACGGAGGGUGCAAGCGUUAAUCGGAAUUACUGGGCGUAAAGCGCACGCAGGCGGUCUGUUAAGUCAGAUGUGAAAUCCCCGGGCUUAACCUGGGAACUGCAUUUGAAACUGGCAGGCUUGAGUCUCGUAGAGGGGGGUAGAAUUCCAGGUGUA